AAAUACAGAAGAAGCACCGGCUAACUCCGUGCCAGCAGCCGCGGUAAUACGGAGGGUGCGAGCGUUAAUCGGAAUAACUGGGCGUAAAGGGCACGCAGGCGGUUAUUUAAGUGAGGUGUGAAAGCCCCGGGCUUAACCUGGGAAUUGCAUUUCAGACUGGGUAACUAGAGUACUUUAGGGAGGGGUAGAAUUCCACGUGUAGCGGUGAAAUGCGUAGAGAUGUGGAGGAAUACCGAAGGCGAAGGCAGCCCCUUG
rnacentral:rRNA from 1 species